UGAGUAAAGGAAAUUACAUUAUAUUACAUAAAUAAAUGAAGCUUUAAUUUUGUUCUCCAUAUUUCUCAACAGCUUUGCAGAUGGUAUUAAGAAACAGGGCAUCUGUGUCUCCCUGUGGAAAAACCCAGGCUCUUCUGGAACUGUGGGCUCCUUGUGUUGCUGUCAUGUAAUCAAGAAGCUAGAGCAUCUGCCCAUUAUCAGAUUUCUAAUGUUGAAGUGGAGAUAUGAGGAUUUUGAAAGUUCCCAAUUGGAUGCCUCUAAAGGAAGUGAGGGCUCUUUCAAGUAAGGAACACUUAUUUUAUAUUACCUUUUAAGCUAGCUGUUAUUAAUUUUCAAUUUUAUGCUAGAAAUUUGCAACUCACAAAAAGAAAGGAAAAAAGUUAAACCCUGCUUUUAAAUAUCAUUGUUCCCCAUUUUUCAUGUCUCAGUUACCACAUUUAAAAAGAAGAUGGCACCAUUUGUCCAAGGAAUCUCAUUACUGGGUAUAUACCCAAAGGAAUAUAAAUCAUUCUAUUAUAAAGAUACAA
rnacentral:antisense_RNA from 1 species